GGACUAGUUGAAUUGGAAAACUUGAAAGCAGUAACAACUGAAGAUAGAGAAAUGAGGAAAAAGAAGGAAGAAUAUUUAACUUUUAGUCCUCUUACAGUUGUAAUAUUUGUGGUCAUCUGCUGUGUUAUGAUGGUCUUACUUUAUUUCUUCUACAAAUGGUUGGUUUAUGUUAUGAUAGCAAUUUUCUGCAUAGCAUCAGCAAUGAGUCUGUACAACUGUCUUGCUGCACUAAUUCAUAAGAUACCAUAUGGACAAUGCACGAUUGCAUGUCGUGGCAAAAACAUGGAAGUGAGACUUAUUUUUCUCUCUGGACUGUGCAUAGCAGUAGCUGUUGUUUGGGCUGUGUUUCGAAAUGAAGACAGUCAUGUGUGAUACUUCUAGGCCUUCUCCUCCUCUAUGAUGUAUUUUUUGUUUUCAUAACACCAUUCAUCACAAAGAAUGGUGAGAGUAUCAUGGUUGAACUUGCAGCUGGACCUUUUGGAAAUAACGAAAAGGUAGGGAUGGCAGUGAAAUAGAAAUGGCUAUCCAGUGUAUGUAUGUGUAUCCAGUUAAUAAUUUGCCUUCCUGUGUAAUUCAUUGGUCACGUAGUGCAUGUUAAGGUAUUGUAAAACUUAUUUCUCAGAAAAUAUAGCUCUUUUCUUAGUUAUUAUAAAUUAUUAAAUACCUAUUGACUUGGGUUUCAUCCUAGAAUGAUGGAAACUUGGUGGAAGCCACUGGUCAACCCUCAGCUCCCCAUGAGAAAGUAAGGAUUGUAUUUCAGAUAUGUUCAUUGGACUUUAAAUCAUACCCUCUGAGACAAGACUCUUCUUUGGGGAAAAAAAAAAUCCAGAUUGCCAAAAAAAAUAAGGCCUGUUCUAUUUCUGUGUUUCAAGGCCUGGUUCUAUUCUUGGUAAAGAG
rnacentral:sRNA from 1 species